rnacentral:rRNA from 1 species
UACAGAGGUCUCAAGCGUUGUUCGGAUUCAUUGGGCGUAAAGGGUGCGUAGGCGGCGCGGUAAGUCGGGUGUGAAAUCCUGGAGCUCAACUCCAGAACUGCCUUUGAUACUGGGGAUCUCGAGUCCGGGAGAGGUGAGUGGAACUCCGAGUGUAGAGGUGAAAUUCGUAGAUAUUCGGAAGAACACCAGUGGCGAAGGCGGCUCACUGGCCCGGUACUGACGCUGAGGUGCGAAAGCGUGGGGAGCAAACAGG